rnacentral:lncRNA from 1 species
UUUGGGCAAGUGCGGCGCAAGGGCGUCACGUCGUGGUGGUUUCUCUUGUUGCGGAGCACAGGCUCUAAGGCUAGUGGGCUUCAGCAGGCACAUGGGCUCAGCUGGCCCUAGUCCUCAACAACAUGGUCUCGGCAGUGGAGGGGCACAGGUUUAGCAGCUUUGAGGCAUGUGGGAUCUUCCUGGACCAGGGAUCGAACCAGUGUCCCCUGCAUUACAAGGCAGAUUCUUAACCACUGGACCAUCAGGGACACCUUUCUUUAGGUUUUAAAUCUUAUUUCACUUAAUUCCUCCAGGUAAUAUCCUCCUGCUAACCUGAACUUCCUGACAUGUUCAUACAGUAGCCAGGUGGACCACCUUCAUGUGUCCCACUAUAAAUGCUUAGCUCCAUAAACACAAUUUAAAUCUACUGCUGGUUUUUAAGGUGGGAAACAAGAUAGCCAGGGAAUGCACUUAAAUUUUAAUAAUUUUGUGGCCUCAUAGAGAAUGGAAUCAAAAAGGAGUAUAACUGGUUGCAGAAAGGCUGACUGAAGCUGUUGCCUUGCUGCAGGUGAGCAGACUGUCCCCCAAGGACUCUCAACUGAAAGGAAACUAGCAAUCUAUCUGUCAUGAACUGUCAAUCAGAAUCUAAAGCUAAAAAGAUACCCAAGGUUGAAUGAGUAAUCCGAGGGCAAGGACUUUGAAGUCAGGCAAAGUGGGGUUCAAAGCCCAGCCCAACCACUUAGAUGACUCAUCUCUGACAGGACAGAAAACUCCCCAGGCCAAAAGUAAAGUGGGAAUGCACCCACCUAAAGUGCUUAGGUGGUUAACAUAUGGGAAAUAUUAUCUUGAAUCUUUUUUCCCUAGAUGACACAUAAACUCAGAAUAGUCCAAUUAAUUUGAAAUACUUAAGUUUAAGCUGGGGGCAACAAUAAAGAAAUAUGCCAAAGUGUAAAAAAGGAAAACUGGUGAUUAUUAGUGUGAAGAAUGGAGAAACAGUGGAAGCUGGGGCAGUUAACGUGAAUAAAAUUCUAAGACUGAAAUUAGGAAAAAGCAUCAAGAGGUCAAUUUAAUAAUUUUUAGAGUUAAUUGUUUUUAACUACCAGAUAGUACUAACAAAUCUGAAACAUUUUAUUUGACAGUUAUUUCCAUUUAUCUACUUAAAGGUUCCUUCUAUCUGCUCAUCCCACCCUGCUGACCAUUCUACACCCCCAAGGAGAUCCGUGAUGAGGGUCAGCCUGGAACAUUCAGUUCCACAGAAAACAGACGACGACAAGUAUCUAAUUGCUUGUGAUUAGGAAAAAAAACCCAUCUCUUCUUCUUGCCACUGGAAUUCAAGCUAUGAUAAAGGAGACAGAAAGACAGUGAGUUCGAGUGAAAUGUUUACAUUUAUAUUGAAAUAUGCACUAAAACAGAAUGAGUUCUACUGGUCAAUGAAACUUUGCCAAAGCGGAAUCACAAAACUUC